UACUCGAGCGGCGAACGGGUGAGUAACACGUGAGCAACCUGCCCCAGGCUUUGGGAUAACCCCGGGAAACCGGGGCUAAUACCGAAUAUGACCUUGCACCGCAUGGUGUUUGGUGGAAAGUUUUUCGGCUUGGGAUGGGCUCGCGGCCUAUCAGCUUGUUGGUGGGGUGAUGGCCUACCAAGGCGACGACGGGUAGCCGGCCUGAGAGGGCGACCGGCCACACUGGGACUGAGACACGGCCCAGACUCCUACGGGAGGCAGCAGUGGGGAAUAUUGCACAAUGGGCGGAAGCCUGAUGCAGCGACGCCGCGUGAGGGAUGACGGCCUUCGGGUUGUAAACCUCUUUCAGCAGGGACGAAGCGUAAGUGACGGUACCUGCAGAAGAAGCGCCGGCCAACUACGUGCCAGCAGCCGCGGUAAGACGUAGGGCGCGAGCGUUGUCCGGAUUUAUUGGGCGUAAAGAGCUCGUAGGCGGCUUGUCGCGUCGACCGUGAAAACCUGGGGCUCAACCCCAGGCCUGCGGUCGAUACGGGCAGGCUAGAGUUCGGUAGGGGAGACUGGAAUUCCUGGUGUAGCGGUGAAAUGCGCAGAUAUCAGGAGGAACACCGGUGGCGAAGGCGGGUCUCUGGGCCGAUACUGACGCUGAGGAGCGAAAGCGUGGGGAGCGAACAGGAUUAGAUACCCUGGUAGUCCACGCUGUAAACGUUGGGCGCUAGGUGUGGGGGGCCUCUCCGGUUCCCUGUGCCGCAGCUAACGCAUUAAGCGCCCCGCC
rnacentral:rRNA from 1 species